AUGUAUGGCCAUGCCACCCUGAAUGCGUCCGAUCCCGUGUGAUCUCGGAAGCUGAGCAGGGUCGGGCCUGGUUAGUACUUGGAAGGGAGACCAUCUAGGAAGACCAGGUGCUGUAGGCG
rnacentral:rRNA from 1 species